rnacentral:rRNA from 1 species
UGCAAGUCGAACGGCAGCGCGGGCUUCGGCCUGGCGGCGAGUGGCGGACGGGUGAGUAAUGCUUGGGAAUCUGCCCAGUAGUGGGGGAUAACACGGCGAAAGCCGUGCUAAUACCGCAUACGUCCUACGGGAGAAAGCGGGGGAUCUUCGGACCUCGCGCUAUUGGAUGAGCCCAAGUCGGAUUAGCUAGUUGGUAGGGUAACGGCCUACCAAGGCAACGAUCCGUAGCUGGUCUGAGAGGACGAUCAGCCACACCGGAACUGAGACACGGUCCGGACUCCUACGGGAGGCAGCAGUGGGGAAUAUUGGACAAUGGGCGAAAGCCUGAUCCAGCAAUGCCGCGUGUGUGAAGAAGGCCUGCGGGUUGUAAAGCACUUUCAGCAGGGAAGAACAGCGCGAGGCUAAUAUCCUCGUGUCCUGACGUCACCUGAAGAAGAAGCACCGGCUAACUCCGUGCCAGCAGCCGCGGUAAUACGGAGGGUGCAAGCGUUAAUCGGAAUUACUGGGCGUAAAGCGCACGUAGGUGGCUUUGUAAGUCGGAUGUGAAAGCCCUGGGCUUAACCUGGGAACUGCAUCCGAAACUGCAUGGCUAGAGUAAGGGAGAGGGAAGCGGAAUUUCCGGUGUAGCGGUGAAAUGCGUAGAUAU